rnacentral:rRNA from 1 species
GGUUAAGCGACUAAGCGUACACGGUGGAUGCCCUGGCAGUCAGAGGCGAUGAAGGACGUGCUAAUCUGCGAUAAGCGUCGGUAAGGUGAUAUGAACCGUUAUAACUGGCGAUUUCCGAAUGGGGAAACCCAGUGUGUUUCGACACACUAUCAUUAACUGAAUCCAUAGGUUAAUGAGGCGAACCGGGGGAACUGAAACAUCUAAGUACCCCGAGGAAAAGAAAUCAACCGAGAUUCCCCCAGUAGCGGCGAGCGAACGGGGAGGAGCCCAGAGCCUGAAUCAGUGUGUGUGUUAGUGGAAGCGUCUGGAAAGGCGCGCGAUACAGGGUGACAGCCCCGUACACAAAAAUGCACAUGCUGUGAGCUCGAUGAGUAGGGCGGGACACGUGGUAUCCUGUCUGAAUAUGGGGGGACCAUCCUCCAAGGCUAAAUACUCCUGACUGACCGAUAGUGAACCAGUACCGUGAGGGAAAGGCGAAAAGAACCCCGGCGAGGGGAGUGAAAAAGAACCUGAAACCGUGUACGUACAAGCAGUGGGAGCACGCUUAGGCGUGUGACUGCGUACCUUUUGUAUAAUGGGUCAGCGACUUAUAUUCUGUAGCAAGGUUAACCGAAUAGGGGAGCCGAAGGGAAACCGAGUCUUAACUGGGCGUUAAGUUGCAGGGUAUAGACCCGAAACCCGGUGAUCUAGCCAUGGGCAGGUUGAAGGUUGGGUAACACUAACUGGAGGACCGAACCGACUAAUGUUGAAAAAUUAGCGGAUGACUUGUGGCUGGGGGUGAAAGGCCAAUCAAACCGGGAGAUAGCUGGUUCUCCCCGAAAGCUAUUUAGGUAGCGCCUCGUGAACUCAUCUCCGGGGGUAGAGCACUGUUUCGGCAAGGGGGUCAUCCCGACUUACCAACCCGAUGCAAACUGCGAAUACCGGAGAAUGUUAUCACGGGAGACACACGGCGGGUGCUAACGUC